AGUAACAAAAUAAAAUAUAUCUACUGUUAACCAAAAUAUAUCUACUGUUAACCACUACUACCACAUAACAGCCAGCGGGGAUUUUGAUAAGGACUUGCCGAGAUCAAGCUGGGUUGGGCGGGGUACAUUAGCGCUGAGUAUCCGGUGGUUGUAUGGAUCAGAACUCCGAAAGAGUCGGAGCAGAUUUUUUAAUAAACGCUAUCUUAAUUAACCGACCGCACAUUUGAUCUUUUUAUACAUACAUUCUCGCCUAAAUAGCUUUUGAAUAUACAUUUUGUGACACAAUAAGAGUAAUAUUUCAAACAUUAUGCAGGCGUUCUCUUCCAUUGGUGGCUGUUGUAAGUUCACACGAGUCAGCUGAUGACGUUUCACUUGGACAGACAACCACGCAUUGUUGUAUAUUUUUUUGCGUGUGUUAUUAUUAUUUUAUUAUUAUGAAAUUCGUGAACAUUAUUAUUGCGCCUUGGCAGUCUAUUUUGUAUUUGUUUUAUUGAGGAGAAAAAAACAGACAAGAACGCAUAUUGUGUUGCGCCUGCGCUGUGACGUUCUUUUUUCAACCGCAUUUCCAGUCAAGAGGUCAAGAAUGUUCCUGUCUGCAUCAGCUAGCUAUCCAUCUGAAAAAGAAAAGCUGGAACUCGCAAAGGAGAUUGUGUUGUUGGAUUAUGGUCUCAUUUGGUCAAAAUGAGGGACAUGUACUGAGCAUUUUUCUUUUUUCUUUUUUUUGAUGGGCCAUCACACAGUGGAUUUAUAAAAAUGAGACUACAGAACAUCAGACGGAAGCUUCAACACGUGAGAGGACAUCAUCAAUAAAGAAUGCCAUUGACCAAACCUUCAGUCAUCAAAGAAGAUGGAUACAGGUGGACAUCGAGUUUUCCAGACUUACCGAUAGGAAAGAAGACAUGUUUAUCAGGAAAUUGGAGGUGACAAUUAUUGAGAAACUCAGGGAAAUAGCAUCUUUAGAGAAGAAAUGUAAUAUCUAUUGCUGUGUGAAUUCUGCUGUCUCAGACUGGGACUUGGUGGCGGCUGGUACCAGCAUGACCUCUUUGCUUACUAAAUGAUGAAAAGGUGUCUAAAAUCAGCUCAGCCAGUUGGUUUCCAGCGGUUCUUCAGGACAUGAAUUCGCAAUGAAUGAUUCUCUUGCCUUUCUACUUGAUGUUUACAAUCUGACCUGUGCGGUAGACAGACUUUUCAAAUUUACUAGCUAAGUAACCUUAAGUAUCCCUGCCAACUGUCUUCAGUUUUUUUUUUGGUAUGAAUAUGAUCUACCCUUGUCCCAGUCCUCUUGCAAACAAUCCAAGGCAAUGGAGUUUCAAAAUGGACCGCAAAAUUGCAGUCUGUUUUAACCAAUGCAUGCACUGUGUGGCGGUUUCCCGGACAGGGAUUAGACUAGUCCUAGACUAAAACAUUUUUAAGAGCUGUCCAAACUGAAAACAACUUGCACUGACAUAUCUUAAAAUACACCAGUGCCCUUUGUUUUGCCUCAAAAUGCACACAGGUAAUGUUUUUAGUAAGGCAUGUUUGUUAAAACCAGAUAUAUUUCCUAAUUAAUCUAAGGCCUAGUCCUGGAUUAAGAUUAUCCCUGUCCGGGAAACCACCCCUAAAUAUUUUGUGAUGGAAAUUUCUUUGAAUACACUUGUCAAGUUCAUUUGAAGUAUUUUUCUUAAUGUAAAAUAACGUGUUAAUGUUUCAGGACAAGGUAAGAAUUUUUGAUAACUUGCAUGUUGAAAACGAUUUCAGACAUUGUUUCAACAUGUUUAACACAUGUGCUUUUAAAUUCAAUGAAUUAUUUUAUAAAUGGUGUUUUUUAUGUAUAAAUGUAAUGUAUGUUUGAAGUGAUUAUACUUGCACUUAAAUUUAUUUAAAUUAGCAUACAUCUUGCAACAUACAGUACUAGCAUAUUUUCAUGCUAGCAUUAAUUGUCAAAUAUUUAUUAUUUUACAAAUAAAUCGUUUGUGAACAAUAUUUAAUAGUUGUCUGCUUGAUUUCAUUAUUUAAAGUUUACAAAUCGUAUGUUUUUUUUCUCUUUUAUAUUAAAACUAAACAAUUACUGGGUAACACACAGUUGUGUUAAAUUAAUAGAAAGUUACACAUUAAUGUGUUUACUGAAGCAACACAUUUUUUGUGUUGCAUUUUAUAACACAUAUUCUGUGUUAAAUUUAACUCAACAUGUGUUGUCCCUGCGCACACUCAGAACAUGUGUAAAAAAUAACACAUGUUGUGUUGUUUUUAACACAUUUGUUUUAAG